UGCAAUGGAACAAAAACUCGUUGAAACCAACGUUCAAACGUGAAAACAAUAUUCUCAAAAAUCACAAACUUUAGUAUGUUUAACACAUCAUGUGUAAUCUGAGUAAUUUUAAGGUGGGGAAAAUGGGGAAAAUGUAAUUUUCUGCUGUUAUGAUUUUAGGAGGACCCUGGAUCAGGCUCUCUAUCAGAAAUUCAUUUUUGUGUUGCUAUGUUAUGUACUGUUGUGUAUAGUGUAUGUUGACAUAUGCAAGUGGCAAAGAUGAGUUUCCAUUGUAUGCAAAGUAAUCUGAAUCUGAGUAGAAAGGUUAGUGGCGUUAUUAUUUCACACCUAUCACACUGACAACAAAAAACUAAACACUGACCAAAGGUAUCAUGUCUGUCAGCUCGUGUUGAAAAGCUCAGUAAUCUAAUGGCUGCCUCAGUAUUCCAGAGGAUCUUGAAUGAAAUGAAGCUAUCGUCAGGACAUCUCGAACUGCAGACAAGAACCUCCUGUGGACACUAGUGUCACAGAGGCCAACAGAGUGUAUGAGGAGAUCAGAGAGGAGGACAGACAGAGCAGAUCUCCUCCUGCAGAAAUAUCUACAGCUUACACUUACGCCAAAUACUCCAAA